UGGGGAAUUUUGGACAAUGGGCGAAAGCCUGAUCCAGCAAUGCCGCGUGUGCGAAGAAGGCCUUCGGGUUGUAAAGCACUUUUGUUCGGGAAGAAAACGUCUGUGUUAAUACCACGGGCGGAUGACGGUACCGGAAGAAUAAGCACCGGCUAACUACGUGCCAGCAGCCGCGGUAAUACGUAGGGUGCGAGCGUUAAUCGGAAUUACUGGGCGUAAAGCGUGCGCAGGCGGCUAUGUAAGACAGGUGUGAAAUCCCCGAGCUUAACUUGGGAAUUGCAUUUGUGACUGCAUGGCUAGAGUGUGUCAGAGGGAGGUGGAAUUCCACGUGUAGCAGUGAAAUGCGUAGAUAUGUGGAGGAACACCAAUGGCGAAGGCAGCCUCCUGGGAUAACACUGACGCU
rnacentral:rRNA from 1 species